rnacentral:tRNA from 1 species
GCCCCCGUAGCUCAGGGGAUAGAGCGUCGGUUUCCUAAACCGUGCGUCGGAUGUUCGAAUCAUCUCGGGGGCACCA